rnacentral:rRNA from 1 species
UACGUAGGGGGCAAGCGUUGUCCGGAAUCAUUGGGCGUAAAGCGCGUGUAGGCGGCCAGAAAAGUCCGCUGUGAAAACUCGAGGCUCAACUUCGAGCUGUCGGUGGAAACUUUCUGGCUAGAGUCCGGAAGAGGAGAAUGGAAUUCCUGGUGUAGCGGUGAAAUGCGCAGAUAUCAGGAAGAACACCCGUGGCGAAGGCGGUUCUCUGGGACGGUACUGACGCUGAGGUGCGAAAGCGUGGGGAGCAAACGGG